AUACUUACCUGACAGGGGUGAAUCGGUGGUCCCAAUGGCCGUUCUCCCUGGACUAGGCUAUCCCAUAGCACUUCAGAUGUGCUAACACCUGCAAUGUCCCCAAAUGCGAGAUACUCAACUGCAACAUUUGUGGUGGUAACUGCAAACAUGCUAUUAUGUU